UGAGGAAUAUUGGUCAAUGGGAGAGAUCCUGAACCAGCCAAGCCGCGUGAGGGAAGACGGCCCUAUGGGUUGUAAACCUCUUUUGUCGGAGAACAAAACCCGGGACGAGUCCCGGACUGCGUGUAUCCGAAGAAAAAGCAUCGGCUAACUCCGUGCCAGCAGCCGCGGUAAUACGGAGGAUGCGAGCGUUAUCCGGAUUUAUUGGGUUUAAAGGGUGCGUAGGCGGUCCGUUAAGUCAGCGGUAAAAUUGCGGGGCUCAACCCCGUCGAGCCGUUGAAACUGGCAGACUUGAGUUGGCGAGAA
rnacentral:rRNA from 1 species